rnacentral:lncRNA from 1 species
GCGGAAAUGCAAGCCGAGCAUGCUGGCGUGAAAGCCCCCGGGGCCUGGCACCCCCAAAAACGACCCCCCACCUCCGUUCCUGCCCUCAUUGCCCAGGGCUACCCCUCUUCCUCUUCUUUCAUCCACCCCUCCCCCAACAUUACCUGUGUGGCCGACUCAAAUUCAAAGCAUUUUGUAUAUAUAACUGUUUUCUUUUUUUGCUUUUCUGCUGCAUGUCUUUUUCGUGGGGGGUGAUCCUCUGCAGAUCCCCCCAUUUGCGGACCCGCCAUGUGGAGGAGGCAUUUGGGGGGCUCAGAAGGAAAUUAGCUCGGCUUCCAUACCUAUAAGGACUGCCUAACUUUUAAACUCCCGGCACUCAAAGAUGUGGACACACACACGUACAGGAAAUACAGCCAGACCAGAGCCUUUGCAGUCCGCAGCUGACCGGAAGACGUUGCCUUUCAUUCAUUCAUUCUGCCCGCCUCUGUGGACUCCUUUACUAGGCGACCAGCCCUGAAACAGAAGUUGGACAUUUUUUAAAGGUUCUUGCGCUCGGCAAGGGGAGCAGAUAGAUGCUCAGGAGCGAAAGACGCAGAGAAUUGGAUCUGGCGCCUCCUAACGCAGCCCGCACAGGAGCGAAGGAGAGUGUGACGAUCCCCCUGAUGCGGCUGAGAUGUUCUGAAAUGAAGACGUUGGCUCUCAUCCCCAGCCUGAAGAGAGAAAAUUCUGAGAUGGCUCCCUUACAGAUUGAGAGCAGAUACGGGGUUUCACCGUGCUAGCCAGGAUGAUCUCGAUCUACUGACCUCGUGAUCCGCCCGCCUCGGCCUCCCAAAGUGCUGGGAUUAUAGGCGUGAGCCACCGCGCCCGGCGGCUGUGGCUAAUUAUUAGGCACUGGGUAGGAACACAGCCAAGAACGAUUGCAGGAUGGGUCCUUCCAGGACACUGACGUCUCAGCUUGCGCACUGUGAGUCCCUGGACGAGUUACUCCACCUCUCUGAACCUCCUCCUCACUUGCAUAAUGGGAAAAAUAAUGGACAUAGGAAGAUGAAACAAGACCUUGGAGACCACAUUUACCAUCUUAUUUUCCUUGUUCCUUUUUCUUUUCUUUUUUUGUUUUUGUUUGUUUGUUUUUUGGAGACAGGGUCUCACUCUGUCACCCAGGCUGGCGUGCAAUGGCGCGAUCUCAGCUCACUGCAGCCUCUGCCUCCUGUGUUCAAGGGAUCCUCCCACCUCAGCCUCCCGGGUAGCUGGCACCACAGACGCACACCACCAUGCCUGGCUAAAUUUUUUUGUAUUUUUAGUAGAAGUGGGGUUUUACCAUGUUGGCCAGGCUGUUCUCGAACUCCUGGCCUCAAGUGAUCCGUCCACCUCGGCCUCCCAAAGUGCUGGGAUUACAGGCGUGAACCACUGAGCCCGGCCCCUUGUUCCCUGUUCUGUUUCUUUUUCACUGUUAUCACUGAUCACCAUCGAUCAUAUUAUCUACAUAUCUAUUAGAUUGGCGCAAAAGUAAUUGCUGUUUUUGCCAUUACCUCCAAUGGCAUUACUUUCAGUGGCAAAAACUGCAAUUACUUUUGCGCCAACCUAAUAUAUUGAGACAGGGUCUCUCUCUGUCACCCAGGCUGCUGGAGGGCAGUGACACAAUCACAGCUCACUGCCAUGUCCAACUCCUGGAUUCAAGUGAUCCUCCCGCCUCAGUCUCCUGAUUACCUGGGACUACAGGCAUGUAUCACCACACCCAGCCGGUUUUUUUGUUUGUUUGUUUUUGAAACAGUUUUGCUUUUGCCCCCCAGGCUGGAGUGCAAUGGCAUGAUCUUGGUUCACUGCAACCUCUGCCUCCGGGGUUCAAGCGAUUCUCCUGUCUCAGCCUCCCAAGUAGCUGGGAUUACAGGUGCCUACCACCACACCUGGCUAAUUUUUGGUUUUGUGGGUGUGUGUGUGUGUGUGUGUGUGUGUGUGUGUGUGUGUUGGAGUCUGGCUCUGUCACCCAGGCUGCUGGAGUGCAAUGGCGCAAUCUUCAGCUCACUGCAACCUCUGCCUCCUGGGUUUAAGCAAUUCUCCUGCCUCAGACUCCUGAGUAGCUGAGAUUACAGGUGUCCACCACCACGCCCGGCUAAUUUUUGUAUUUUUAGUAGAGACAGGGUUUCACCGUGUUGGCCAGGCUGGUCUCCAUCUCCUGACCUCAGGUGAUCCACCUGCCUCAGCCUCCCAAAGUGCUGGGACUACAGGCGUGAGCCACCACGCCCGGCUCAAGUUUCUCUUUUUCUUUUUUUUUUUUUACAUUUUGUAGAGACAGGGUCUCACUAUGUUGCCCAGGCUGGUCUUGAACUCCUGAUCUCAAGCAAUCCUCCCUCUCUGGCUCCCGAAGUGCGGGGAUAAUAGGCAUGAACCACUGUGCACAGCCCAUAUUUUAUAUUCUACUUAACUGAGUUUCUUUAGUUUUUAUUCCUCCCACUAGGAUGUCUGUUUUGUUUACCUCCAUAUCUCCAGCCCCUAGAACAGAACUUGGUUCAUGGUGGGUUCAGUAACUAUUUGAAUUAAAUGAAUAGAUGGACGUAAAAUGGUUAGUACUGCGGUGCCCAGUAAUGGUAGGUAUCAAACUUAGUCUCUGUGCUCCAACAGAAAGCAGUGUAAUUUAAGAUGGGCACAGUGGGCUGGGCGCGGUGGCUCACACCUGUAAUCCCAGCACUUUGGGAGGCCGAGGCAGGUGGAUCACCUGGGGUCAGGAGUUCGAGACCAGCCUGACCAAAAUGGCGAAACCCUGUGUCUACUAAAAAUACAAAAAUUAGCCAGGCGUGGUGGCAGGCGCCUGUAAUCCCAGCUACUCAGGAAGCUGAGGCAUGAGAAUCUCUUGAACCUGGGAGGCGUGGGUUGCAGUGAGCCGAGAUGACGUCGUUGCAGUGAGCCGAGAUGACGUCAUUGCACUCCAGCCUGGGAGACGAGCGAAACUCCAUCUCAAAAUCAAACAAACAAACAAACAAACUGUUCCUGGCAUGUUGUAGGUGACUAAUACCUGCUAAUUUACUGUUUUCUCUUUUUUUUUCUUUCUUUCUUUCUUUUUUUUUUUUUUGAGACAGAGUCUUGCUGUGUUGCCCAGGCUGAAGUGCAGUGUUGCGAUCUCGGCUCACUGCAACCUCCGCCUCCUGGUUCAAGAGAUUCUCCUGCCUUAGCCACCCCAGUAGCUAGAAUUACAGGUGCCCGCCACCAUGCCCAGCUAAUUUUUGUAUUUUUAGUAGAGACGGGGUUUUACCAUAUUGGCCAGGCUGGUCUCUAACUCCUGACAUCGUGAUCCGUCUGCCUUGGCCACCCAUAAUACUGGGAUUGCAGGCAUGAGCCACCGCACCCGGCCUUUUUUUUUCUUUCUUUCUUUCUUUUUUUUUUUUUUUAAGACGGAGUUUUGCUAUCGUUGCCUGGGCUGGAGUGCAAUGGCACGAUCUCGGCUCACUGCAACUUCCACCUCUCAGGUACAAGCAAUUCUUCCACCUCAUCCCCCCAAGUAGCUGGGAUUACAGGAAUGCACCAGCACGCCUGGCUAAUUUUGUAUUUUCAGUAGAGACGGGGGUCUCUCCAUGUUGGUCAGGCUGGUCUCGAACUCCCGACCUUAGGUGAUCUGUCCGCCUCGGCUUCCCAAAGUGCUAGGAUUACAGGCGUGAGCCACCGCGCCUGGCCUUUUUCUUUCUUUUUUUUAGACAGGAUCUGGCUGUGUUGGCUAUGCUGACGUACACAGCUCGCUGCAGCCUCAACCACCCAGGCUCAAAUGAUCCUUCUGCCUCAGCCUCCUGAGUAGCUGAGACCACAGGUGCAUGCCACUACACCUGGCUAAUUUUUUAAAAAAAUUUUAUAGAGGCAGAGUCUCUCUAUGUUGCCCAGGCUGGUCUCAAACUACUGGGCUCAAGCAGUCCUCCUGCCUAGGCUUCCCAAAGUAUUGGGAUUACAGGCAUGAGGCACCACACCAGGCAUUUCUUUCUUUUUAGAGAUGGGGUCUUGCUAUGUUACCCAGGCUGGUCUUGAACUCUUGAGCUAAAGAGAUUCUCCCUUCUCAGCCUCUCGACGAGCUGGGAAUACAAGCACACACCAGUACACCGAGC